CUGUCGGCGCGGGGCAGCGAGGCUCGCGCUGCGAAGGCGCCGCGGGCGCGCUCCCGGCGGCUGUCGGCCAUCAGCGCGAUGUUCUCCCGGGGCGAGCGGCCCAGCUUCACCCACUUGAGGCGGUAAUCCCGGGGCAGCACCCGGAGGCGGCACGGCAGCGUCACGUUCGCCCCGGUGUGGGCGCGCACCGCCCGCGGGCCCGACCUCUCCAGGAAGAAAGGAGGAGUACACGUCUCCAUCUACAUCAACAGAGCUGAGGUUGAGAGGGUGGAGAGCGACAAGUUCCCAGGAGUGACGAAAACCAGCAACCUGUCCUGCAACUUCCCACGUAGAUGUGACGGUCAAGAAGGCACAACGCCUCCUCCUCCUGAGCUGGCUCAGGAAAUUCGACAUGUCUAUUAAGACCCUCGCCAGCUUCUCCAGACGCACCAUUGAAAGCAUACUGACCAGACGCAGAACGGCCUGCUCUACCCAGGACCAUAAGAAACUGCAGAGGGUUGUGGGCACAGCCCAGACCAUCACAGAAGCCAACCUUCCACCUAUGGACACGUGGCUCGCUACUGCAGAAAAGCUGCCAACAUCAUCAAAGCCCCAUCGCACCCUGGUAACGCUCUCCUCCAAGAUCUUCCGUCAGGGCAGAAGAUACACAAGUUUGAACAUGUACCAGCAAGUCCAGGAACAGUUUCUUCCCUGCCAAUGUUAGACUGAUGAAUGGACUCUCUCACGUCAAAUAAUGCUGAUCAUGCCAAUGUUCAUCUUGCCUAGCAUACACCCUAUUCGAAGUAACCUGUCUGCCUCUUGAGUUUUUCCCCCCACUCUACGAUCUGUAUGUCGUUGUUUACAUGAACUGCUGUCCUUGAUCUGCCUGUACUGCUUGUAAACAAAGCUUUUCACUGUAUUUAGGUACACCUGACAAUAAAUAAAUUAAAUAAGUAUUGUUGA